AGAAGGAAAGAAAGAGAAUGGACUUAAUGGUCACAAAUUAGAGAGUUUUUUCUCUUCUUCUUUUUCAUUUAUAAGUUCCACUUCUUCUCACUCUCCCUCUUCCUCUUCUUUUACUUCUUCCUCUUCUUGUUGUUCUUCUUUUUUAACUGUGGAACAAGUUCUUGACCGACGAUUAACGGAUGAUGGUGAUGUUCAAUUUUUAGUAAAAUGGCAAGGAAUGGAUUCUUCUUAUAAUUCUUGGGUGUCUCAAAAUGACCCACAAUACACCAGACCUUAAAAAAGGCCUUGUUUCUCCUUCUCUCCUCCACCUUCUCUUGUAUAAAAAUGCAGUGUCAUAAAUAAAAUAUCAUUUAA
rnacentral:ribozyme from 13 species